GAAAUGCGAUAAGUAAUGUGAAUUGCAGAAUUCAGUGAAUCAUCGAAUCUUUGAACGCACAUUGCGCCCCCUGGUAUUCCGGGGGGCACGCCUGUUCGAGCGUCAUUUCACCACUCAAGCCUCGCUUGGUAUUGGGCGACGCGGUCCGCCGCGCGCCUCAAAUCGACCGGCUGGGUCUUUCGUCCCCUCAGCGUUGUGGAAACUAUUCGCUAAAGGGUGCCGCGGGAGGCCACGCCGUAAAACAACCCCAUUUCUAAGGUUGACCUCGGAUCAGGUAGGGAUACCCGCUGAACUUAAGC
rnacentral:misc_RNA from 1 species